GACGCCAGUAUCAACACAGUGGCCAUUUUAUGUUCAGUGCAGUCAUCGGUAGGGACAAACCCUUAAUGCAAACUCCACCUACUAUCAAGAAGAAGACUUUCUGUCCACCGAUAGUAUUAUCGUGGUGCUCCUCCAAAGGAAGAUCUGAGAUUGAUAAAAUUUAGGAAUUCGCUGAGUCAGGAAUGGUAACUUAUAAACGUCGCCUAGAUACAUUUGAUAUGACAUGGCCUGGAAGAGUCAAGCAAACUUCUCACGAGCUGGCUGAAGCUGGGUUAUUUUAUUGUGGUAUAAGUGACCACGUCUGCUGCUUUCACUGUGCCUGUGGAAUACGCAACUGGAGACCAGAAGAUGAUCCUUGGACGUUACAUGCGAGAUGUAGUCCUGAAUGUGCCUACAUUAUUCUUGCAAGGGGCAAGGAAUUUGUUAAGAAUGCUGGAUUGACAUUACCAUUACCUAUAAAACCUAUUGACGAUGAUUUAAUUAAUAUCUUAAUGUAGGGUAUGGAUAAGUUCAAACAUCUGAUUCAUCAAAAAUUAAUACCUGUUGAGAGUAUAAGAUAUGCUUUAAGUGAGUACCUUAAGGAAUCCAGAGAUUUAUUACCUCUUACCUCUUAAACAAAGUAGAUGUUUAGAAAUCGUGUUGAGGUAUAUGCAAGAGGGUACAGAUAUUUAUUUACGGGUACGGGACAUAAUUUAUGAAACAGUUGAUGAUAAAGAGGAACAAGAAGUUACGCCUGAAAAUCUAGGAUUGAAAACUUUACCGGAGACUUGUCAUUGUACUGUUGAAAACAAGGAUUGUACAGAACAAUCUUGGGAAGAAGAUAUUUUAUGCAGAGUUUGUAUGGAUAAAAAUAUAAAUAUUGUAAUACUACCGUGUAAACAUAUGGUGACGUGCAGCGGUUGUCUUUUAUCUCUGAAAUGCUGUCCAAUUUGUAGAGGAAAUAUUUUAUAUAUAAUAAAUCCAAUUGCUUGUUGAACACUUGUAUAUGAUUUCUUGAAUACCUGUGUAUGUUAAAUGUUGUAAUAAACUCGAUG